AAAUCCUACCACUCCUUUGUGCCCUGGGCCAUCUUUAGAACCAAGUGGGAGAGAAACCAUUGUGAGGAACUGAAAUGCUCUGCUAAAUUCAUUGGCAAACGAUGGGAAAAGUCAAGAUUCUGUGAUUUAAACUGCUUCUUUCGCUGAUCCCUAUUCUAUUCUGAUUACAAUAAGAAGAGAAGGUAAAGGGGAAAAGGAAAAAAACAUUGCCCCUCCUGCCAGCCACAUAGUUACAGUGGAGUGGAGAUGGGAUCUUGACAUGAGAACACAAGCCUCCCUUAAAUUGAACAUUUUUUAAUGAGAGGCGCACGUAAGAUCAGAAUCCCAGCGACUUCUGAACAGAAGAAAAUGAAUGCCUGAGGAGGCAGGUCCCUCACAAUCUGCGUUAGAUUCCUGUAAAUUGGCAGAGAAGAGCAUCACCUCAGUGGUGUCCUCAACUGGGGCACCGUGAGGAUGAGAGCGCGCCUCAGCCAAUUUCAACCAGCACACAGGCUGCUGCUAUCCUUUGUGUUCACCCUUCCCCCUCUGCCUAGCCUCCGUGAUGGUAGCAUAGCAACUCCUACGGACAUCUCCCCAAGUGUUCCCCUGAGGUAGUUAUUCAAUAAGUGAUGUGCCGGCUCAUUGGCGAUG